AAGGGAAGUAAUUAGUCUAAGAUGCUGCCAGAAACUCCAAGGUGAGAUUUGGCUUUCAUUCAUCCGGUGCUCUGCCACUUCUAGAUUCAAUCAUUUGAUACCAGUUAACACUUGAAAGAGUGAGAGAUAGAGCAGUUCAAAUUUUGCCAAACUUCAACAAGAUCCAAUCAACUUAUUUAACUCAGCAACAACGGCAAACCUCUAAUCAUUUUCUAGGUAUAUACUACUGUUUCAGUUCAUUUUCUCAACUCAUUCAAGCCACAUAUAUUGUCAUCAUAUCAUAGCAUAAUCGAUCAUCUAUGAAGUGCUUAAGGAGAUGGAACGAAUUGUAGGCAUACUUCACUAUACUUUAUAAACACAAUGAGAUUUCUUAACUUCAUAAGCAAAUGAAUCAAGAUACAAUAGUAGAAUGAAAUAGACUUAACUUUAGAAGAGAAGAACGUUGGGCUGCACUGCGGGCCGCUGGACCUCAAGAACAGCGGCAACGGUGCGACGAAUCAAGCAGACGCCGGCAGCGACGCCCCUAGUCGUCAACGACAGCGCUACUCGCCGACUGCACAGUGCCGGUGGUGGAUCGAAACGAUAGCAGCGGCUUCCCCAAAACGGCAACACACGAACCACGUCGGUCCAGUGGCGACGACAGUGGCGGAAGUCUCGAGCGCAGCAGCAGCGGACGCUCGGCAACGGCGUUCUGCCUUUUCUAAAACUUAGGGCUCGACGACGGAGGGAGAUUCUGAGGACGAGGGAGAUGAACGGCGCCGCUCCCAGGCGGCGAUAUCUCGCCGAAAUUUCAGGGCAGCGGAGGCGCGACUGAUUUUAUGGGAGCAAGAGGCGGCGAAUCUCCCGGCCUUCCAGUUACAGCGGCGGAGGGAUCGACGGUGGUCCAGAGAUGGUGAGAUCGACGAUUGUGGUGGCCGAUGGCUGCUACUGUUCGUCUGUCAAGGAGUCGGAUUCGCUGGUCGGCGGCGGCUUUUGUCGUUGCUGUCGCCGGAAACGGACGGAGAAGGGAGAGCAGUGGGUGACGACGGCUUAUCGCAGCUGCUCCCCGGCGAGCUUCCGCAGCGGCGAAGCUUUGAGAGAGAGAGAGAGAUGGAGGGAGACGGCGGCGAUACCUAUCAUCGUUGCCAAGGAAGGAGGCCGGUCGACGGCUGUCUCGCCGGAGGAAGCCGCGGCGGCGGGACUGAUGGCUGAGUGAGAGAGGUGAAGAGAGAGCCGAGAGGCAGAGAGGGAGAGUGAGGGCUGAAGCUAUGUGUGUGUGCGUGAGAGGCGCAGAUUUGAGGGAGGAAAGGAAGAAAAGGGCUAGGGAUUGGGGAGUGGAUUUGAGUUUGGGCCAAGUGAUGGGCCGAUUUUUUAUUUAGUUGGGCCGAAAAAUUUGGGCCUCCUAUUUAUUUUUGGGCUUUGUUAUUUAUUUUCAGUGGGCUUGAGUUGGGCUGAGUUAUUUAUUAAUUUUGGGCCGAUUUUAAAUUAGGAAUUGGGCUUCAGAAUUUAUUUAUAUGGACCGAUUUUAAUUACUGAUUGGGCCUCUGAUUUUAUUUAUAUGGGCUUUGAUUUAAUUGUUGUUUUGAUUUGUAUGGGCUUUAUUUAAUUGAGUUGGACUCUAUUUAUUUAAUUGUUUUGGGCCUCAUCUUUUAAUUGUUUUGGGCUCCCCUUAUAAUUCAUAAAUUGGGCCUUUAUCUAUAUUAUUUGGGCCGAAUUAUUUGAGCUUGGGUUUGUUUUAUUCUAAAGGAAAUGAGCUUCCAAUUUAAUUGAUUGGGCUUUCACUUAAAUUCGAAUUGGGCCAGUCUUUUAUUUAAAUGGCCAUUCCCAUUAUUUCUAUUGGGCUUGAAUUAUUUUAAAGAUUGGGCUGAUGCUUAUUUUACGAUGGGCUAUUAUUCUAAUCUCAUUUAUAUUUCAGCUGGGCUGAGUUUUAUUUAAUUUUAAGCUCAGAAUAAUUCAUUCUAUUCUUGGGCUAAUUUUAAAUUAUGGACUGAAAUUUUAUUUAGUUGGACCUUACAUGAUUUAUUUAUUUGAGCCCAACUAUUUAUUAUUUAAUCAUUUGGGCCAAGAAUGAUUUAAUUACUAAGCCCAAUGAAUUAUUUUAAUUGGACCUUUCAUUUUAGCUAUCCAGGCCCAUUUCUGCUUAAUUAAUUAUUGAGCUACCUUAUGUUGAGCCUUUUAAUUAUUUAAUCUUAUAACAUUACUUGUUCCUAUUUAUUAAGCCCGAUUAAUUAUGAAGUUAUAAAGCGAAUAAGUUGAAGUAUUAUUUAUUUUCUAUUGACUACGAGGAAUGGGGUUUAUUUAAUUGGCGGAUUAGAACACCUGAAGCGAACAGAUUAUUUUAGUUAAUUACUCAACCACGCAAGAUGAAACCUAGUUGGUAUUUAUUUGAUCCGAUAGUGAGGAUUAAUAGUAGUAAUUCUCUAAUAUCAUCUCGGAGUAAUAAAUCAUGCAUAAGGAUCAUGCAUAGUUAAAUACACAUUCUCAUUUGAUGAUUUUAUUAGAGCAAUAUCUUAUUUAUAUUCUCGUAAUAAAGGUCAAGCACGAGAUUAAUAAUCAGUCAAGGAGCUACUGUACCACAAAAAGUUUCUAACAGGUGGGCAUUACUUUCAUAUAUAUCAAAUGAGUUUAAAUGUUACGUUCAAGCAAGUUAUCUCAUGAUUAAAUUAAUUGAAGUUAUUUCAAAUAUUGUCUUGCCAUAAAAUAUUUAAAUUUCAGUAUGAUAUCUAUCUGAUGUGACUUUUAUUAUGCAAUCGAAUUCGGGUCCUGAGCAGUUGAUAGCUAUCCUGCCAGGACUAGUGUACACCAGUGACCGUGAGUCAUCUAGCGGGUUGGCCGGUCAAGUGACCGUGAGAGGUGGCCACCUCUCCGGCACAAAGUUCCAGAUAUGAUAGAUUACAAGAGAACUUAGACUGCAGUCGAACUUUAAGAAUCACAAAUGAAUUUAGUAAGCUUGGGCCUUUUAGCGAAAAACUCCCUUGCUGUACUGUUUAAUUAUGGCAUGACAAUUUACAGUUUUGAAGCAUGUAUUUUAUACUUAGGCAUACGUGCCCACUGAGUACUUUUGUACUCAAGCCCUGCAUAUAUUUCUAAAUGUGCAGGUUGAGUAGCUGCCGAUGGUGAUGAAGUGACGAGCGGGAUUCUUUUGUCUUAUUAUGUGUUAAUGAACUCUAGGGUUACAUGUCUUCAUACAUGUAAUCAGAACCUUAUUCCGCUGCGUACUCAGAAGUUUUAUGUUUAUUUGGCUAAGUCAGAGAUAUCUGAACUUACUAGUUAUUUGAGUCUAUACGACUAAACUUCUGUUAUAUUAUAAAUAUUCCUUUUGUUAAAUGAUGAAAUGUGAUCCUUUCUUGUUUGAUUA